UACGUAGGAGACGAGCGUUGUCCGGAGUUACUGGGCGUAAAGGGUGCGCAGGCGGCCUUGCGCGUCGCGAGUGAAAUCUCCCGGCUCAACUGGGAGGGUGGUCGCGAGACGGCAGGGCUUGAGGCUCGGUGAGGGGCGUGGAAUCCGGGUGGAGCGGUGAAAUGCGUAGGAGAUCCGGAGGAACACCGACGGCGUAGGCAGCGCCCUAGACGAGACCUGACGGCUCAGGCACGAAAGCGUGGGGAGCAAACGAGGAUAGA
rnacentral:rRNA from 1 species